AGAGUUUGAUCCUGGCUCAGAUUGAACGCUGGCGGCAUGCUUUACACAUGCAAGUCGAGCGGCAGCGCGGGGGCAACUCUGGCGGCGAGCGGCGGACGGGUGAGUAAUGCAUCGGAACGUAUCCCGUAGUGGGGGACAACCCAGCGAAAGCUGGGCUAAUACCGCAUAUGCUCUACGGAGGAAAGUGGGGGACCUGUAAGGGCCUCACGCUAUGGGAGCGGCCGAUGUCCGAUUAGCUAGUUGGUGGGGUAAAGGCUUACCAAGGCGACGAUCGGUAGCUGGUCUGAGAGGAUGAUCAGCCACACUGGGACUGAGACACGGCCCAGACUCCUACGGGAGGCAGCAGUGGGGAAUUUUGGACAAUGGGGGCAACCCUGAUCCAGCCAUGCCGCGUGCGGGAAGAAGGCCUUCGGGUUGUAAACCGCUUUUGGUCGGGAAGAAAGGGUUCGGGCGAAUACCCUGGACUGUUGACGGUACCGGCAGAAUAAGCACCGGCUAACUACGUGCCAGCAGCCGCGGUA
rnacentral:rRNA from 1 species